UUUACUUGAUACAAUUUCUCAUGGGACUGGCUACAUGUCAGUCGACUGAAAGUAAUUUAUCGGUCAAUCGACUGACCACAAACACGAUUCAGUCAAUAUAUGCGUUGGAGCGCUUCUUACUGCACGCGGAGCAUCAAGUCCGUUGCAGGAUGCAUGUAGCUAGCUAACACGAGGCAGCUAUGAUAGUUAGUUACUGCUUGUCCAUUGCAUCGGAACAUCCAAACACAUUGUGACUCAAAUGAUGAUAGGAGCUAGGCCAUGUUUGGUCCAGACAAAAAAAAUGUUUGGACAAGACUUUUUUUCUAAAUUACAACUUAGUGGGUUUCUAGUUCAUCAACAGUUCUACAUGGAAGAGGAAAAACAAGCAAGUCUAGAAAAGUUGAAUAAUAAGAUUGAUAAGAGCAUAUCCCAUGGUAGUAAUAAAAAAUUCUUUACUGUUGUGGUGAGAAAAUCUCCUGAGGGUGUGAUAACUGGCGCUGCUCGGGGGAGGCUGAAAGUGAAGCUACGAUUUACAAAGUUGAAUCCCCUGAUUCAUCUUUGGGCCACUGAGAGCAAGAUGGAGAAAAUUUAGAAGAAAGCUGUAGCUGCUGCAAAAAGAGAGUUAUUGAAGUUUACACUGCUUGUGGUUAUCUUACAUACUGGAAAGGUCUGCUGACGGGGGAUGAUUGAGAGGCAAUGUAGCGUGGAGCUAAGAUGCUGAAGAACCAUGCAACUAGCAUGAUGCAGAUUUGUGUUGCCCCAAAGGGUACCCAGUGAUGGUGGUGAUGCUACAAGUUUUAGCCUUCGCUGUUAGGAGUUUUAGACCCCUGCGUGGGUGUUUGGUCGAUUCCUGAGUGAAUCUGAUUGUAUCCUGGUUUGUCUUAGACUUGUGUCCUCUAUUUGACUUUGGUUCUAGGUUGUCAGUUGCGCUUCUAUGGUGUUUUUGGGUUUUCGCCCUGCGGUAGGCUGCUCGAUGACGAGUGCCUAUGGUGGGUUUCCCAAAAAUGCUUUGAACUUGCACCCUUUCUGUUUUUUUCUUUUGCUAAACUUUGUAUUUCCGUUAUGCUGGUAAUGGAAAGGGGUUCGCCCGGUUCAAAAAAAAGUUCAUCAACAAUUUUUUAGUUAAAAGGCAUAGGCCCGACUUUAUAGAUAAAGCCACCAGGUAGAGUAACAGCACAGAUAACAGAGAGAGAGGUUUAAAAGGCACCCAUGCCAAAAGGGGAGUAGAUA